UACUAGAGUAGCACUCGCAUAUCAAUAAGCGGAGGAAAAGAAACUAACAAGGAUUCCCCUAGUAACGGCGAGUGAAGCGGGAAGAGCUCAAAUUUGAAAUCUUCAAGGUUUUACCUUGACGAAUUGUAGUUUAAAGAAGUGUUUUCUGUUGGAGUUUUGGUAAAAGUUCUUUGGAAUAGGACAUCAUAGAGGGUGAGAAUCCCGUAUUUGACCAUUAUUUCCAGCUGUGUGAUACACUUUCAAAGAGUCGGAUUGUUUGGGAAUGCAGUCCAAAAUGGGUGGUAAAUUUCAUCUAAAGCUAAAUAUUGGCGAGAGGCCGAUAGCGAACAAGUACCGUGAGGGAGAGAUGAAAAGAACUUUGAAAAGAGAGUUAAACAGUACGUGAAAUUGUCAAAAGGGAAGCGUUUGACACCAGUGUUGUUUAGUUGAAAAUCAAUUCAAUAGUUUUUGAUUCUAAGUAGUAUUGACUUCAUCAGCUUGCUGCUUUCUUCUCAGAAAUUAUUGAAUGCACUUUUCAGUUAACAAGUCAACAUCAAUUUCUUUUGUUGUAAAAGGGUAAGAGGAAGGUGGCUUGCGCUUCGGCUCAAGUGUUUAUAGCCUUUUAUCUCUGCAAUCGGAGAGAUUGAGGUCUGCAGCGUAGAUCCUUCGGGGUUAGAUACAUUUGUGCUAAGCUAUAGUUCUUUAUAGACAACUUGUUGACUAUAAUCAAUCCUGUAACUUACUCGCUUAUGCUAUUUUACCUACGCUUAGGAUGUUGAAGAUAUGCGCGACACG
rnacentral:rRNA from 1 species